AUGGUGCUACAAAUUCACAGGUACUUAAUCAUAGUUGAUGAUAUAUGGGAUGAAUCAGCCUGGAACUGUAUAAAGAGUGUACUAGUUGAGAACAAGUGCAGUAGCAGAGUAAUCACAACAACACGUAUUGCUGGUGUUGCAGCAUCAUGCAGCUCUUCCAUCAACGGUAACAUUUAUAAACUUAAUCCUCUUGCUCAUGAUGAUUCAAGGAAGUUGUUCCAUGAAAGAAUAUUUGGGAGUGAAGAUGCUUGUCAUGUGGAACUGAGAGAAAUAUCUGAGAAAAUCAUGAGAAAGUGUGAUGGUGUACCAUUAGCUAUCAUCACUAUUGCCAGCCUAUUGUCUCACAAACCAAAGAAUAUACAUGAAUGGGACACUGUCAACAAAUCAAUCGGUUCUGGACUUGAGAAGUUCCCCAAUAUGGAGAACAUGCGUCAAAUAUUGUCUAUUAGUUAUUAUGAUUUGCCGUCCCAUCUGAAACCCUGCUUUCUAUACCUGAGUGUUUAUCCGGAGGAUUAUACAAUAUUGAGUGAUCACUUGGUACGAAGAUGGAUAUCCGAAGGCCUUGUC
rnacentral:rRNA from 1 species